AAGCUGGGACGUCCUGUCGCUCCUUUGGAAACAAGGGGGAGGAAAGUCCGGACAGGAUAGGACACCCCGCUGCGGAAAGCGCAGACAGGAGUAAUCUUGUGGCGGCCGUAACAGAAAAUAACCGCCAAAAGGUUAUUUAUGCGACCGAAAGGGAGCAGAAUAAUUUUUUGGUAAGGGUGAAAACGUGAGGCAAGAGCUCACGACCGGGCGCAGCGAUGCGUUCGGGGUACGGCGCCGGGGCCUGCAAGACCAAAUAUACCGGUGAUAUGAGGGUGGUCCGCCCGAUGCCGGGGGGUAGGUUGCGCCAGAUAAAUGACGGGAUUAAAAACAGAAACCGGCUUACGGUCCCAACUUUGUU
rnacentral:RNase_P_RNA from 1 species